rnacentral:lncRNA from 1 species
UCGCUUUUUUUUUUGUAGAUGCCUUAUAUGUGCAUACAUAUGGCAGGUCUGGGCGCGCUCCUAGGAGGGCCUCUGCCGGUCUCGGGGCGCGACAGAUUAAUUUGGUAUCAGAGCCUAAGGUUGAGUCUUAUUGGACCUAGCAAACCUUAGGCCGAUUGGACUAUAGGAAUUAGGCUCGUGAGAGACGAGGUCUAAUUGAUUUGUGAGCGAAAGUAUUAUGAUUGGGUUUUAUGACAACUCUAAAAAGUUAGAGUUUGAUCGGAGUGUAUGGCUUCUAACUUCGCGGAGGGUUACGUUGGCGGCCGACAACGUAACAUCAGGAGUUAGUAGUGUAGAACACUUCUUUACUUUCGUUUGACUUGAGGUACUGAUUUUUUUUUAGCGGGGUUACGGUAAUGUGGGUUGUAUUAACUUGCGCUUUUAUGAUGUUGUAGUGACGAUGUCGA